AUGCUCCUCUCCCUCUUCUCCAUUGAAAAACCACCUCCUCCUCUCCAUCAUCUCCAUUCCAAAACCACCAUCUCGCCUCUCCCUCUUCUGAUCUUCUCCAUUGCAAAACCACCUCCUCUCCUCUCCAUCAUCUUCAUCCCAAAACCACCGUCUCGCCUCUCCCUCUUCUCUAUUGCAAGACCACCGUCUAUCCUCCCAUCUUGCAAAGCUAGCACCAGACCACUCAAAAGGACAUCUAUGGAGAGGAUGCAGCAGCGAAUCAGGCAGAUCGCCGGCGGCGACCAGGCAAAGUUACUCAGGUUGAAGGAGAUUCUUACUUGGUUUGACAAUGAGUGGGAGAUUUCGAGGAUGGUGCGGGCCAUGUGGCAAUGUAUGCAAAAAAGUGAGACGGAGGCGAUGAGGGCGGCGAUGUACAUGUACUCCUCGGUGGCAGUCACACCGUAG
rnacentral:rRNA from 1 species